rnacentral:tRNA from 1 species
AGGAGAUGGUUUAAUAAAAAUUUUAAUUUUGGAGAUUAAAGAUGGGCUUGGCUCUUUUCUGA